UCUAANUAUAAAUCAUUUAUACANGUGAAACUNCGAAUGGCUCAUUAAAUCAGUUAUAGUUUAUUUGAUAGUACAAUUACUACUUGGAUAACCGUGGUAAUUCUAGAGCUAAUACAUGCUAAAAAUCCCGACUUCCGGAAGGGAUGUAUUUAUUAGAUAAAAAACCAAUAGCCUCGCAAGGGGUUUCAACUUGGUGAUUCAUAAUAACUUUUCGGAUCGCACGG
rnacentral:rRNA from 1 species